rnacentral:tRNA from 1 species
GCCUGGCUGGCUCAGUCAGUAGGGCAUGUGACUCUCAGUCUCAGGGUUGUGAGUUCAAGCCCCAUGUUGGGCC